AAGUCGUAACAAGGUUUCCGUAGGUGAACCUGCGGAAGGAUCAUUAACACGUAUACACGUUUUAAUUAACAAACUUAUCAACAAUUCUACGAACAUGAUCUCCCUGCUGAAUAUAACUGCGGUGUCGUACUCCUGUCGUGGUGGGUCCCAGUAAACAUGUAGUUGUUCGAGACUUGUGUUAAGCUGAAGGCUGGCAGGCAUCGACUAUUCACACUUCGACUGUGAGCCAAAACACAUUCAGCAGGCUUACUGACUCUAUUCUCGCGUGGAGUUACUCCAAUCCUUACCAUCAUAAGGCCGAGUUUAGAACCCCAUACCAAUUUCACCCUAUUUUACCUAUUUGACUAAUUAACUGAUUCUUAGGAGAAAUCCUUUGAAUUACUAAGAUUUAUCUUAACUAAGCACAACUCUUAGCAAUGGAUAUCUUGGUUCUC
rnacentral:misc_RNA from 1 species